AGUGAACGCUGGCGGUAGGCCUAACACAUGCAAGUCGAACGGAAGCACAGUAAGAGCUUGCUAUUACGGGUGGCGAGUGGCGGACGGGUGAGGAAUACAUCGGAAUCUACUUUUUCGUGGGGGAUAACGUAGGGAAACAUACGCUAAUACCGCAUACGACCUACGGGUGAAAGCAGGGGAUCUUCGGACUUUGCGCGAUUGAAUGAGCCGAUGUCGGAUUAGCUAGUUGGCGGGGUAAAGGCCCACCAAGGCGACGAUCCGUAGCAGGUCUGAGAGGAUGAUCGGCCACACUGGAACUGAGACACGGUCCAGACUCCUACGGGAGGCAGCAGUGGGGAAUAUUGGGCAAUGGGCGCAAGCCUGAUCCAGCCAUACCGCGUGGGUGAAGAAGGCCUUCGGGUUGUAAAACCCUUUUGUUAGGAAAGAAAAGCAGCGGAUUAAUACCCCGCUGUUCUGACGGUACCCAAAGAAUAAGCACCGGCUAACUUCGUG
rnacentral:rRNA from 1 species